GGUGCUGUGACUCAGCGGCUAGAGUAAUGCGUUGUCAGCGCAGAGACCGGGGGUUCGAGUCCCCUCAGCACCGCCA
rnacentral:tRNA from 1 species